CGAGUCCGCCGCCGGUCGGUUGGUGCCGUGCGGCGCCGAUGCUGCGGUCCCGAGCCAUGGCGGUGGCCGUCCGAGUCAUUUAUUGUGGUGCAUGAGGCUACAAGCCCAAGUAUCUUCAGCUCAAGAAGAAGUUAGAAGAUGAGUUCCCCGGACGCCUGGACAUCUGCGGCGAGGGGACUCCCCAGGUUACCGGGUUCUUUGAAGUGAUGGUAGCAGGGAAGUUGGUUCACUCAAAGAAGGGAGGCGAUGGCUACGUGGACACGGAGAGCAAGUUUCUGAAGCUGGUGGCCGCCAUCAAAGCCGCCUUGGCUCAGGCCAGUGGGCCAUGAAGGCCGAGUCCAGUGACCUUGGCCCAGCCUCUCCCGGCAGACGCUUCAUGAUGGGAUGGACUGAAAUGUCUCCUGGACGCCGGGUCUCUCCCUGAUGUUCUGCGGCUGCUGGGCGGGGAUCGAAGCCCUGGUCUACCUGUGUGUGUGUGUGUUUGUGCCUCCCUGGAAUCUAGCUUUGCACACUGCCUCCCCUUUCACCAUCUCCCUCCCUGCAUUCCCCCACGUUUCCCUGUCUCCCCCUGGUGUUUGGGGUGGUCCCGCUCCAGGCUUCCUUCUCAAGGAGGAGCCUAGAGAGGGAACCGGGUGUGAGAGUCUCAGGUUUCAGUUGUGUUUGCAACGGUUCACAGUUCAUUAAAUAUUGAAUGUGUGCA